rnacentral:rRNA from 1 species
GAUGAACGCUGGCGGCGUGCUUAACACAUGCAAGUCGAACGGAAAGGCCCUGCUUUUGUGGGGUGCUCGAGUGGCGAACGGGUGAGUAACACGUGAGUAACCUGCCCUUGACUGUGGGAUAACUUCAGGAAACUGGGGCUAAUACCGGAUAGGAGCUCCUGCUGCAUGGUGGGGGUUGGAAAGUUUCGGCGGUGGGGGAUGGACUCGCGGGUUAUCAGCUUGUUGGUGGGGUAGUGGCUUACCAAGGCAUUGACGGGUAGCCGGCCUGAGAGGGUGAACGGCCACAUUGGGACUGAGAUACGGCCCAGACUCCUACGGGAGGCAGCAGUGGGGAGUAUUGCACAAUGGGCGGAAGCCUGAUGCAGCAACGCCGCGUGCGUGAUGACGGCCUUCGGGUUGUAAACCGCUUUCGCCUGUGACGAAGCGUGAGUGACGGUAAUGGGUAAAGAAGCACCGGCUAACUACGUG